CCACGCGCAGCGGCUCCGCGGGGUCUCGGCCGGGUCCGCGCUCUGAAGGAUCUCGAGAGCCAUGGGUGGUGCAGGCGGGACCCUCGAGCUGCAGCAUCUCCGGUGACCCGGGGUUGCCGAGGAGGUGGAGACCAGCACAGGUGGUCCGGCCCGGGCGCCUCCGAAUCCGGGGGUGGUCAAGACGGAUCCCCAAGGCUGAGGUCGGCAGUCCCGGGGACUCGCAGCUGUUGAGCCUGUGGAGACGCGGCCCCGUGACCGAGGCACCCUUCAGCAACCCGGGGGCAGCGUUUUCCCCCUACCGGAAAUCUGAUGGGCUUAUGACAUCAUGGCUGGCUGCUGAGCGAUGAAGUGGAUGCCACAAAGAAAUCCGACAUAUCAGAUAGAUUCUGAAAUCGGUUUCCCUCCAGCUGUAGUAACAGGCGUGAAGUCAGGAGAAUUUGAGCUUUGUUUAAAAAAUAAAUAAAUAAAUAAAUAAACCAUAACAAAGUCUUGCCCUGUAUUAAAUGCAAUUUUCUUAAAAACAAG
rnacentral:lncRNA from 1 species